rnacentral:ncRNA from 1 species
CUCUUUAGGGCGGGGUGCGAUUCCCCACCGGCGGUAGAGCCCGCGAGCCCCCUUCGGGGUGCACGAUCUGGUGAGAUUCCAGAGCCGACAGUACAGUCUGGAUGGGAAAAGA